UAAUUUUCAAAUAUCAUUUUCACUUAAUCUUUUUCAUUUUUCUCUUCAAGAAUUUCACUUAUUACAAAAAGGAGUUACAACUGAUGGUAACCCGAGCCCAAGCCAAUCCUAGAAAACACUUGUACGCCCUGAAGCUGGUCAAAUAGAUCAACUUACGAAGCAAAGGAUAACGGUUCUUCACAACAACCUUGUUCAACAGGCAAUAAUCAAUACACAUUCACAUAGAAUCACCCUUCUUCUUCACAAACAAGACGCACCUCAUGGUGAAACAUUGGGUCGAAUAAAACCUUUGCCAAGCAAUUUCUGUAACUGGUCCUUCAACUCCUUCAACUCAGGAGGAGCAAUACGAUACGGAGGAAUGGAAAUGGGCUGAGUACCCCGG
rnacentral:lncRNA from 1 species